rnacentral:rRNA from 1 species
GUCUACAGCCAUGCUACCCUGAACAAGCCUGAUCCCAUCUGAUCUCGGAAGCUAAGCAGGGUUGAGUCUGGUUAGUACUUGGAUGGGAGACCACCUACGAAGACCAGGUGCUGUAGGCG